rnacentral:misc_RNA from 1 species
GGAACAUAGAUAUAUAGGUAUUAAUCAACUAAGUUCGUAAGAUAUGGAAUGAUCAUGUCUUACUUGUGCACUGCACUUUAUAGGUCAUGAAUCCCUAUGUUACUGAGAUCAUCAAAAAAUAUUGUCGCACCCGUGUCAGAACCUUCAAAAAUGCACUACUUUUGAAGUAUUUCCCAUGCACUCACGUCGAUAUUUUUGAAGAGUUUGAGAAACAUUCCUGCACAUAUAGUGUUAAAGAGUCCCAAAUUGAUUAUGGGAAGAAAAAUUAGUCUCCUUAUAUGGUAUUUAG